CAUUUUUUUACUUCACGACGUGUUUUCGAUUUAAUUUCACUUCGUUUAUCAUGUGGAGAAACACAAUAUGAUCUGCACUGCACUGCUCCUAAAUCCGCUGCUGUGGCGCUACAGACCGCACGGCCAACAGAGAUUUUGGAUCAGGACCAGGAGAACUGUCAGUCUGGUGGGACGAUUUCCAAUCAGAGUUUGUUACAUGACAUGGACCCAGCUGUGAUCCUUGGAGAUGUUUUAUCCACUCGACCCGUCCUCUUCACAGUGCGUUGAGACGAUACAGACACACGUCCAAUUCCAGUGAACAACAGGAGUACAAACUUUCCACAGCAAACAUGUCUUGACUGAUCAAUGAGAUGGUGUUUAUUUCAUUUCUGACUGAACUGCUCCAUUUGCAACCAUGAAUUCCUGAAGCACAAAAGGCUCGGAUGUCAAUCCGAUUUGCAAACCAAAGCUGGACUAUUCACCGCUUCACACUGAAGGACAUUCACACUCAAGGCCAGAGCACAGAGAGCAGGAUGAGGCGUCGGAAGUGGACCUUACGGAGAAGACGUGAAAGGAGGGACACAAUAGAAAAGUCAGAAGAGGCUUUUGCUGUUCCUCAUUUGCUCAUUCAUCAAGACUCCAUGAAUGAA
ensembl:lncRNA